UGGUUUCCAUUUCUCCCUCGCAAAUCUGGGCUUCUGGGCUUCAGUCUACAUUCAACUCGCUCUCUCUCGCUCUCCAUCUUCAUAGAAAACCUGAUUCCUCAACGCUUUCUCAAAACCUGCAAGUUUGGUUUCGACCAUUCUAUCCCAACUCACAAUCUUCGGCGCAAAACCUUGAAAAUAUUGGCCUGUGUUUCCGUCUCCAUCCCCUGAGUUGGGAUCGGUCUCUAAGAGCUUUCUGCGUCCAUCCUUCCGAAGCUACGGCCUUCACCGUAUCGCUCCGUCAGCCUCCACAUUCUCCGACUCCGGUUCCAAAAUGCGUAUUAAAAGGUUAGGUUGGAGAGAAUGGAGGUAGAAAUACAAUUGGGAAAGAUAAAGAAAGAUUUUAUGUUUGAAGGUAGAAAGUUUUUUAAUUUUUCGUGGAAUUGAUGUUCUGUUUUCGAAUGAGUUUAUUAUGGUUUGCUUGGACAAGUACCAAGAGAGUUUGGGAUUGAAAAGUUGAGAGAGGCCACACAUGGGUUCAGAGAAAUAGCUUGAUUGAAGGGUCUGUUUAUAAAGGUUUCAUGAAUGGAGAUUUCUUUGCUAUCCAGAAGAUGAAGUGGAACGCGUGUGAGGUGCUCAAGAUCCUACAUAAGCGAAGCAGAACGAGUCAAGCCAUCAGAUGUGAUCCUAGGUACCAAAGGCAGAGGCUUCAUUCAAAGUGAGACAUACAGGAGGGAACUGGUGGACCUCUGAAGGGAAACGUGGUGGGAAUUCCUUAAUACACUCUUCUAUGUCUCAGAAGUUGUGGUUUAUAUACAGACAGUUGACAGAUUGGAUGAUGGAACCAUAUGAGCAAAACUUAAUCCACUUGAUUAUAAAAGGGCUCCAUCAGGCAAUAUGCUCUGCGUCAAAUUUACAGAGCUUUUCCAUUGAUUUUUUUCUUGCUGCUUUUUAACUCUUGACAUGAUUUCAGGAUGUUGGAAGAGCCUUCUUCCAGGCACAUGUUGAGAGUCACUAAAGUAGCUCUAUGGGUGAUACGAUUACAAAGGUACUAUGGGAAUCUCAUGCACACUAUUACGGUUGGACUUUCUCACUCUCUCACACCCCUUUUUCUUGAAUGUUGAUCAGGUUUUAAGUAUCGUUACCUAAUCAUUCCAUUUUGGUCAUUUUCUCAAUCAAUUUUUUUUACUGGAAAAUUCAGUUUAUAUUGAUCAAUAAACAAAAACCAGUUAAUGUCAGUGUGGUUGUUUAAUAUAUAGAAAAAUCUAUUAUUUGUAGUAUUAUUUAUAAAUUCUAAGACAGUUAUCUUCAAGUAUCAGUUGUUCUUCAUUAACUAUAGUACAACAAGGAUUGGUUAAUUGAUAUAAAAACGAUUUUGUGGGUCAUAGAAUCUCAUGUUUUUAGUCUCUGUGCUUCAUUUGAACCUACUUCAUUGCUCUUAUUUGAAAAGUGGGGCAUAUCUUUCUCACUUGAAUAUUAUGCAUGCACUUAUGCAGUUAGCAAUUUUAAAGGAUUUUGAUAAGCUGCAUAUACGGUUGUUUAUAAGCUACAUGUACGGUUGUUCAUAAGUUACAUGUACAGUUGUUUUGUUCUGCACCAUAUAGAUAACUUAAUUGAAAUAUAGUCUUCCGCAUGUGCUCACCCGAUUUGUGUACAUCCAAAGGCUAUAGAUUUUGCUAUAGUUGGAAAUUUGACAGCAUGGAAUGUUUUGUGCGUAGUUUAGAAUUUAGUUUGAGAGGUGGUGGUGGAACAUGGAAUGUUUCUUCAUUGUAUAAUGCUUUAUGUAUUCUUUGUAUUGAUACGAUUAAA